rnacentral:SRP_RNA from 1 species
GGGAGGUUGGCGCGGACGUGAUCCUCGCCAACCCGGUCAGGUCCGGAAGGAAGCAGCCGUAACGAGUUCUUCUCGGGUCGAUGUCAGCCUCCCACC